rnacentral:rRNA from 2 species
UACGGAGGGGGCAAGCGUUGUCCGGACUUACUGGGCGUAAAGGGUGCGUAGGCGGCCUGCUGCGUCGGUGCUGAAAGCGCCCGGCUUAACCGGGCGAGGCGUGCCGAUACGAGCGGGCUGGAGCCUUGGCGAGGGUGGCGGAACUCCUGGUGUAGUGGUGAAAUGCGUAGAGAUCAGGAAGAACACCCGUGGCGCAAGCGGCCACCUGGCCAAGAGCUGACGCUGAGGCACGAGAGCGUGGGGAGCGAACCGG